UGAGUGGCCUAGGCUGCCUCCCCCCAAACACAUAUUCCUGCUUAGUCAGCAAGGUGGUCUCAUCUCUCAGUUCUGUGCUUUUGCCUGGAGUAAUGGCUGCUGCUGCUGCGUUAACACUUCUGGGCCCCGUGCUGUCUGAGCCACCGGCUCCCUCUGCUAUCGAGUGUGCAGCAGAGCUGCUGCUUUUAGGCAGAGACAUUUGAGGAAAGAGUGGCUGUCACCUUCCUCAGUUACUUGUCACCUUCAGAAACUGCUAAGGAGACAGACCCGGGCAACGGUGGACAAGUGGGAGGGAUGCUUUCCGUUCUGCUGUGGGGCCGGCUCUGAAGCUGUCAUCCCCCUACCUGAAGUGGGCCUGCCGCCAGGAAAAGCCAAACCAGACAUCUGGAGACGGACCCUGGGUUUUGCCAUGUAAAGGGCUGAGGGAAAUUUCGGGAUCCUGCACUUUUUCUGGGCUGAAAACUUUGGGGAUGAAUGUCUGUCGGCAGCUUGGAGGGAAUUCCAGAGAACUGAAGAAAUGUCGCAACACCAUGGCUCUUAUGGGACAGAAGUUAAUGUUUUGUGAAAAAAACAGACACCUAUAACUCCAUGUUGAAACAUGAUUCAAAAGAGCCGGACCCUGUGCAGAAGUUUUCGGGACAUCUAAACCAAUUUAUUUUGCUUGUGUUUCCUUUCCGUGUGUUCACAGGAGUGAUCUGUGAUAAAACCCAUGUCUACACAAGUCAAACCUUUUUCAAUAUAUAGAAUUUUUUUCCUUACAAACUUCUAAGUGAUAAAGCAUUGUGUUACGACUUAAUGGCAGCAUUUUUCUUUCUUAGAGGAACAUAAAAUCAUAAUGCAUGCUGCCAUUCAUAAUGUCUUAGAGUAGCUGAAAUGCAGGAGGGGGAAACUUCAUUUUUUUUACUCCAGAGGCGUCUGGUGUCAUAAGUAACUUUUAAGAACGUGUGCGGUUCAGGAGGACGAGAGACAAGGAGUCAGAAAUGCCAACAUCAUGGCUGCUCUGGCUCAUCUGUUCCUGGGGCACCGGGCAGAGACCAGGACCGGGCAGCCCUGCAUGGAAACAGGUGAGGUCGUAGGCACCAAACAUGUGGCUGGAAGCUGUGUUGGGCCAGGGGAGGCAUGAUGCUGGGUGGCUUCCCCUCCCCCACAGCAGGAACAGGAGGAGGAGAUUCUGAGCUGCCCUCUUGGGAGAGUGAGUGCCUUCUGCCUGCCCUGCCACUGAUGGCCAGGCCAGCCUCAGGUGUCCUAUAAAAGGACGAGAAGGGCCCAGCCACGCCCGAGGAGAUCGGAGUGGACAUGGGGCUGAUGGUGUGGCACAAGCUGCCUAGCUGAGACGGCACCAAUGGGAUCACAACAUCACGGAUCUGUUGCUUAUGGGAAAAGUUAAAACUGCGUUUGGGUGUGUGAUUGGAACAAAUGUUUCAGGUAAAAUAAUGCAGCCACUGGAACCACGCAUAGCGACUCCAGCAUUUUGUGCUUUAAGAUCUGUUCAAAUAUUGGCUUCAUUAUCCCAUGUCCUGAAAUAGGAUCUGUGGUCCUCAAAGUGGCUGCAAUUUGGGGAGACAAAGGAGCUCAGUGUUUGAAACUGGGCACAUCUCCCAGGUGUCAGGUACCCACUGUCAGAAACUGCUGGGAAAACGCCAGUCCUCUUCUUAGUCACAUUAAUUACAGUAAGUGCCGUCCAUUCCUGGACAAUCCACUCGCCCCCCACCUCUCUAAUGCCUAUGUGCCCUUCAAAGCUCAUCACCCCUGUAGGGCAGCUUUGCCCUCCUCCUCCUGGCUGCCAUGGCAACCUGAGCAUGCCUCCACAACGGCACCAUCCCUCUGGCCAGGAGUCGGUCCUUUGUUUUUGGCCCUACUGGCACACAGCUUUAUUUCCCCAGACUGAGCAUGCUGCUAAUGAAGCAGACUCGCUGAACCGAUUGGAUGCUGCCUCUUGAAAAGUCUUUUCUCUGAUGGAAGUUAAACCUGCACAGGCUCAUGUUUAAUAUUAUUUCUUUUCCAGCAAGUUUUUCCCUAUUGUGGCAAAUAGCACUGAACUGGGAGUCAAGUCUCUUUUACAAUGUCCUGAGGCCGUAUGACUGGGCAGCUUCCCUCACCUUGCAGGGUGUUGGCCUCCCCUUCUCGUGUAGAUAUCUCAAGGGCGCCCUGUAUCUUCCAUUAUUUAGCACAGUGCCUGGCACAUAGUAUGUGCUCAAUAAACAUUUGAA